rfam:Candidatus Portnoybacteria bacterium RBG_13_40_8 RBG_13_scaffold_3607, whole genome shotgun sequence.
CGGGGUGUAGUAUAAUGGUAGUACGCUGGCUUCGGGAGUCAGUGGCCUGGGUUCAACUCCCAGCACCCCGA